AGGAAAGGCCUUUCAGGCAUCCUCUCCUAAAACUUUCCGGCCGGUCCUUUUUGGAUCGGCCUUUUUUUUCGUGUCC
rnacentral:sRNA from 1 species